UUGGACGGCCAUAGGGGUCUGGUUCACCCGGUCUCAUUCCGAACCCGGAAGUUAAGAAGACCUCCGUACCAAGGUGUACUGCAUUAAGCGGGAAACUUGGUAAGCUGUCCACC
rnacentral:rRNA from 1 species